GUCUGGGCGGGUGUGCGCGAGGCGGGCGAGCUGCGUGUGCGUGUGCGUGUGCAGCGAGUGUGCGAGCGGGGAGCGUGUGUGCGCGUGUGAGUGUGCGUGCGCGAGGCGCCGUGUCUGCGGUGCAGGCGCCGCCGGGAGCCGACCGGCGGGGGUCCCCGGGCCCGCAGCGCGGGCCGGCAGGUGCGGCGGGCGGAGCGCAGGGGACCCGCGAGCGCGGGAGAAGGAAGUCGCUGUAAGUGCCUGAACUUGCGCAGGGCCGCGGGGCGCUCGGGGCUGGGGAGGGGGCGGGCAGGGCGCAGGGAGGGGCGCGGGGUCUCCGCCGCGACUUCCCGAAGAGGCGUGCGCUGCGUCCCCGUGGCUCCCGUCCUCGCAGGGUACAGAAUCAUCACCAGCCAGCAGCUCUGUCACUGGACCGGGGGUGUGAAUACCAGCGUACACCACUGUGACAAUGGCAGCUGCGUGCGUGUCAUCCUCACCGUGAACUGGAGUGACUGUGGGCUGCCGCCUGGCUCCAGGCCCGGGCUCCUCGCUCCCCUCCAUACUCAGGCCUGCACACUCCUGGAGCUUUCUCUCAGUCUGGGAGGCCACUUCUCUGACCCUAAUUCCCAUCUUCACACAAGAAGUUCCAGGCCAUAAGAAAUAAGCUGAAGUCUGAGCUCCUCUGCAACCUCAUCCACAGUAAGCAAAGUGAAACAUGAUCAUUUCACAGAAUUAAAGACUGGGAAGAGCUUCUGAUUUAGGGAGAACAAUUUUUAAAAUGGAUUUGUAUGCAUAACACCCAUUGCGGUUGGUGAUAGUGGAGUCAGUGACUAAUAAAAAUGUCAUUUCCUGUGAUUUUUAUAAAUUACAGUAAAUAUGCCAGUAAUCAUCCACAUUAGCUGCUCAAAUGCAGGCAGCCAUCUGGAGUAGAGGCCAGGGGACCUCAUUGAAGCCUCAAGAGGUAGACCCCACAGGUGCAAAUUGACACCCAGGAAAACAGUAGUUAAUACUCUAGAAUUUGGAGAAAAAGAGAAUGUUAAAAUAAAUGUAUGUCAAGCAGACAAAUUUGGACUUCGCCAGGAGGAUCUGUCACGUCAAACAGGAAAUAGCUAUAAAUUACUUGUAAUAGUAAAAAUCUUGUCAUUUAUA
rnacentral:lncRNA from 1 species